AAAAGGUUUCUUACGUCUUGAGUUCGAUUCCCGUCUCUUCUGUUUUUCUUUCCCUUUUCCCUCUACUGUGGGAAACGCUUACCCGUGUUCCCACCUAAUAUAAGACCUGCAUAUAAGAACCGAGCAACAGUCCUCGCGACAGAGAAACAAAAAAAUAUCUUUCAAAAGACAAUAAAACAGAAUCAUAAUUUUAUUUUUUCUGA
rnacentral:ribozyme from 14 species